rnacentral:rRNA from 1 species
UACGGGGGGGGCAAGCGUUGUUCGGAAUUACUGGGCGUAAAGGGCGUGUAGGCGGCCAACUAAGUCCGACGUGAAAUCCCCAGGCUUAACCUGGGAACUGCGUCGGAUACUGGAUGGCUUGGAACUCCGGGAGAGGGAUGCGGAAUUCCAGGUGUAGCGGUGGAAAUGCGUAGAUAUCUGGAGGAACACCGAUGGCGAAGGGCAAUCCCCUGGGCCUGCACC